CACAUGCGGGGCGGCGGCGGUGCCGCCAUGGCGGCCGCCUUCAAAACUGUGGAACCAUUGGAAUAUUACAAAAGAUUUUUGGCCUACAACCACAAACUACAUAUCAGUUGAUGAAAAACCAGCUAGAGUGUGACCAAGUUUUCCCUAGCAUUUUUGAGGCUGCAUAUUUCUGCUAAAAAGAAUAUUAUUUUAUAUCAACUCCUAUAGCAUAAAUAUUACUGUAUUAUUUAAUAAAAUAUGUUUUCUAAUUUGAACUUUGUAAUUUUUGUUUAGAAAGAGAACUGUCGACCUGAUGGAAGGGAGUUAGGUGAAUUCUGGGCAACCACUGUCAACAUAGGCAAGUGCUUAUUUGGGAUAAUAAUAAUAAUAAUGGGGGAGGUAUUAUUAA